GGGUUGUGAGGUUAAGCGACUAAGCGUACACGGUGGAUGCCCUGGCAGUCAGAGGCGAUGAAGGACGUGCUAAUCUGCGAUAAGCGCCGGUAAGGUGAUAUGAACCGUUAUAACCGGCGAUUUCCGAAUGGGGAAACCCAGUGUGACUCGUCACACUAUCAUUAACUGAAUCCAUAGGUUAAUGAGGCGAACCGGGGGAACUGAAACAUCUAAGUACCCCGAGGAAAAGAAAUCAACCGAGAUUCCCCCAGUAGCGGCGAGCGAACGGGGAGGAGCCCAGAGCCUGAAUCAGCAUGUGUGUUAGUGGAAGCGUCUGGAAAGGCGCGCGAUACAGGGUGACAGCCCCGUACACAAAAGCGCAUGUGCUGUGAGCUCGAUGAGUAGGGCGGGACACGUGGUAUCCUGUCUGAAUAUGGGGGGACCAUCCUCCAAGGCUAAAUACUCCUGACUGACCGAUAGUGAACCAGUACCGUGAGGGAAAGGCGAAAAGAACCCCGGCGAGGGGAGUGAAAAAGAACCUGAAACCGUGUACGUACAAGCAGUGGGAGCCCCACCACUAAGCCAGUGGUGAACUCCACAUACGCAUCCUUUGCUGAGGAUACGGUUAACGGAGCGAAAGCGACGUUCAACCGCAAAAGAAGCAGAGGGGGCUUAGUGGUGGGGUGACUGCGUACCUUUUGUA
rnacentral:rRNA from 1 species